AGCAGUGGGGAAUCUUGGACAAUGGGCGCAAGCCUGAUCCAGCCAUGCCGCGUGAGUGAUGAAGGCCUUAGGGUCGUAAAGCUCUUUCGCCAGAGAUGAUAAUGACAGUAUCUGGUAAAGAAACCCCGGCUAACUCCGUGCCAGCAGCCGCGGUAAUACGGAGGGGGUKAGCGUUGUUCGGAAUUACUGGGCGUAAAGCGUACGUAGGCGGAUUAGUCAGUCAGAGGUGAAAUCCCAGGGCUCAACCCUGGAACUGCCUUUGAUAYUGCUAGUCUWGAGUUCRAGAGAGGUGAGUGGAAUUCCAAGUGUAGAGGUGAAAUUCGUAGAUAUUUGGAGGAACACCAGUGGCGAAGGCGGCUCACUGGCUCGAUACUGACGCUGAGGUACGAAAGUGUGGGGAGCAAACAGGAUUAGAUACCCUGGUAGUCCACACCGUAAACGAUGAAUKCCAGUCGUCGGGCAGUAUACUGUUCGGUGACACACCUAACGGAUUAAGCAUUCCGCCUGGGGAGUACGGUCGCAAGAUUAAAACUCAA
rnacentral:rRNA from 1 species